CCUACGGGAGGCAGCAGUGGGGAAUAUUGGGCAAUGGGCGCAAGCCUGACCCAGCAACGCCGCGUGAAGGAAGAAGUCUUUCGGGUUGUAAACUUCUUUUCUGAGGGACGAAGAAAGUGACGGUACCUCAGGAAUAAGCCACGGCUAACUAAGUGCCAGCAGCCGCGGUAAUACGUAGGUGGCAAGCGUUAUCCGGAUUUAUUGGGUGUAAAGGGCGUGUAGGCGGGAGAGCAAGUCAGAUGUGAAAACUCAGGGCUAAACCCUGAGACUGCUUUUGAAACUGUUUAUCUUGAGUGCUGGAGAGGUAAGCGGAAUUCCGAGUGUAGCGGUGAAAUGCGUAGAUAUACGGAGGAACACCAGUGGCGAAGGCGGAUUGCUGGACAGUAACUGACGCUGAGGCGCGAAAGCGUGGGGAGCAAACAGGAUUAGAUACCCGUGUAGUC
rnacentral:rRNA from 1 species